rnacentral:lncRNA from 1 species
AUUAUUAAGAAAUCAUAAGUCUAGGGGGAAAAUGCACAUGCAAUACUUUGAAAAAUGAGUUAUGCUACAAAGUUAAGUUUUCCAGCCCCCUUUAAGCCUCAGGACAGCAUUUUCAUCUGUCUCCUUUCUUAUUAAACUGUAUCCUUCCUCCACUUUUUAAGCAGAGCAAAUAAAAAGUGAUUGUUAUUGAUGAGGUACGGGGUUGUUGUGAAAACCAGGGCACACAAGAUGUCAUUUAGGUGUCAGUGCAGAAAGCUAGGGACCCAGAGCUGCAUGUCAGUGGCUGCCUCCAGCAUACUCAGGAGACUAACAGACAAGACCAACUUCCGGUUUCUAGAGUCUUCAUAAAGCCCCUCAUUCAUUCCUCACCACAGACUCAUAGGUGUCACAUAUUCCUAAUGAAAAAACUGCAGCUUGGAGCAGAUAAGUGAGGUCAUCCAGCUAAUAAGUGACCUGAAACUACUGUCUGACACUAAACCCAAGCACGUGGCCUUCACCAAACUCUCACUGUCUUCAGGAGGUCUCCUGUGUCAGCUUGUGUAAUAAAAUAUUUUAAGGUAACACAUGUUCCCUGUGCGAAAUCCCUAAGGUAUAAAAGUUAGGGUCCUCAGCCAACCUCCAGUUUUCUUCCCUGGAGACCACUGCUGUGACUAGGUCCUCACAUGUCCACCAAGAGAGGUUCUAUUUAGCGUGUAUUUUGAUCCUCUCUCUCCCAGGGGCUGAGGACAGCAGAGCAGUAUCAGAACCGUGGGCCACAAGGGAAAGGCUGUCCUCCACCAGCAUGAAUGAGCCCAUCUCCAAAGGCUUCUUCACCCUCCAGGAUAGGAUGCUAUUUGCUCUGGCAGCGACUGCCUUCUGGCUCCAUCAAGCCAGCAUUCUCCAAGGCCAAUGCACUGCCAGCAGCAAGGCUUCUGAUGUCACCAGUUGGUGACUCUCCUUCAUGCCCAGUGCCACUUUUAUUCAUACAGCCUAAGGGACUCACGCUCCCUGCCUCAAGAGUCUGCUCAGGGGUAUCAGACAGAGUUUAUAUCAAUGCCUGCCAGGUUUUUAUCAGAAAACACAGCCAUUUAAACCAGGUGGGGACUUACCUGGUGGUCCAGUGA